ACGCCGGUAGCUAGUGAGAGAUUAGGUCGAAACAAACUGAAAUAGAGCUAGAAAUAGUUGUUUUAUUUGGCUUGAUUUUGAGCUCUAGCCUGCUCAAUCGAUGACCAGGCUCCGGCAUACGGCCACGAUCGGUCAAGGGAGAUGAAAGGAAGGGAAAACAGUGGUAGCAGUAGCCAAAAAAGAAGGAAAUAACGUUGGAGAUCAAAUCCAAAAAUAAGGGAACACAAAAAUCAAAAUCGAGCACUCUUUUCUCCCAAGUUUGGUGACUAUCUGGACAAAAUCCAUGACCUUAGCAUUGGAGAAGAUAUAGCGAAGGAUCAAUAAUUAAAGAAAAAGAGCAUCAUUACCUUGAUUCUCGCGACGUCUAGCCAUGGCCAUAGUGACGUUGGCAGACGGCAACCGAAAACUAAGAGAAACUAGAAGAAGAGGAAAGAGAGGGAGUAGGCUUUGGGCUUCAUGAGGAGGAGGGGAAGAAGUCUUAUAUAUAGCCGAUGGCCCCCUGCC
rnacentral:lncRNA from 1 species